ACCACUCACUCUAUCCCCCUCCUCCCCCCACCGCGCCGCCCACCACAUGCGUCUCCCAACUACGCCGCCGCCGCUACCGCCGCCCUCCUGCGCUGCUGCCUAGGCGUCGUGGUCUGCCACUCGCCGCCGCUGGACGGCUGGAGAUUGUCGACACCCAAGUGCCGCCCAUGCUCUGGCGCUUGCACGCCGCCGGCCCUGCCCCAUCCCACCCUCCGCCACCACCUUCCCCACCCCGAGCUCAGAUUUACGACGCCCACUGCCUUCCAGUUCGAGCUCCGCCUUGACCUCAUCCCUGCUGCCACCGUCUUCCCUGAACCAAGGAAGCCCUCAUCUGAUACGCUCUCAUCCGCGACGUGCUUCUCCAACCAUUGGUACGCGACGGUGGUUCGGUCCGGGAGGUGGCUCCUGCAAUCCUGGCGUCGCCGUAGCGGUGGUCCCAUUCCGGUGGCAUCAGGGGAGCACACAUCAUCCACGUGCAGCAAGCAGAGCCGGCCAAUGAUGCAGCAGCGCCGGCCAUGAGGAGACGCCUGCCGUGGUGGACGCGAAGACAACAUCCGUGGGCAUGGAAGACGGUUUUGGAUCUUGUGAGCCGCCGCCGCUGGCGUACAGAAAGUCAACGUCGGCCUUCUACUGCUCCAUGUCCAACAAGUCGCCCACGAGGCGUCAGUGUGGCAUUGCUAGCUCCAGCUUCCCCCCGCAAUCAUCUCUGCCGCCGGCACUUGCACGCAAUCGUGCUGGUUUCUGUAGUUCAAGAUCAAAGGCAAGAAUCAGCCAAAUAUGAUGAUGAGAACAACGCUAAUGAUGGAGAACCUUUAUAUAUCGAAGCUGAGAAGUCUAUUGGGAAUACUAAAUUUCAAUGCGCAUCCUAAGUUUCAGUUACCUGAAAUCAAGGCCAGUUUUAGUCGAUGCCGAAGUAAACUACCACAUACGUGAUGACCUUGAGAAAAUCCAUGCACUUCAAUUGGACAUGAGUUUUCUGCCAUGUAAUCAAUGAUGCACUUCACGUGAUAGAACUGUAAGAUCAGUACUUCUAUCUACUCUAUUCAUCACAUCUACACUUCUGUUUAUUCAUUCUAUGAGCUCUCUAUUUAAGAGAAACAACAGAGACUACUAUUUAAGAAUAAUAGCCUUUUCAAUUAAAUGCUGAAGUAUGUGUUUCCUGCAUGCACCCACAAGUUAUUCAAGAAAAACUAAUUAAUGCCUUAAACUUAAAAGUAUCUCAUGGCCACAACAAACAGUUCACUCAAAAUUAAAACAGGAACUACUUUUAUUGUGCUACAAACAAAAGCAUAACAGGGUUUAGGAACCACAGUUUUAAUUUUGAAAACCUUUACGAGUUUAGCAACAAACCGGCAUGGUAGAAAAGUUUUUAGAAAUACAGGGUAAUAAAAAAUGUAGUACUUCAAUGUGUGGGCAAGCAAUAAUACGUUUUUUAUAACAACUAUUAGGAUGUGAUUCGAGUAUGACACGACAUUUUCAAUGGUAGUCACAUUAGUAACGGCUGAAAUGUAUGCAACUUCUAUAUGGUAUCGUAGUGUCAUUCGAAGAGAGAAGUACUGCUUCUUAAGAUAAACAAAUAUUGACUAAAAAAGUACCAUGUCAAAACUGCCCAACUGAAAUAUCAUGAUCUGCACCUAAAGUGUGUUCCCGGUGAUAAAGACAACUAUAUGUUGUUUCCUUAAGGAAAACAUGCACACACAUUAUUGAUAGACAAAAAUACCACAAUAAUUAAUUCUGUCUAGUGUAUACUAACCGAAUUGAAACAUAUAGACUUAAAACAGGGGGCGAUUGUCUCAUGUUAUUAUCUAACAUGUCAUAUUGGCUAUACCUACAUCUCGAGACGUUCAAAGCAUAGGUGUACUGGAUGCAAAACUAUAUAGAUGCAUACUCUAAAUCCUCAGAGUCUGAGCAAAACAUGAUAAAAUUGAAGAUGAAGUGCACUGGCCCAUAGCAACGCCACUGAAGCUGGGCAUUCUUAAUCUGAUAGUGGUCGCGCAUGUUUAAAUAAAGAUUGCAGUCAAAUAAAAAACAAAGAUAAACAUAUGUACAAAAGCACUCCAGAGCAACAAAUUAUCUAUAGAAUAAGAGUAAAUGCUCUUGCCAUAUUCAAAACCCGCCGGUUUCGUAAGUGUGGACUUCAGCCUGUAAGGACUUUCUUAUAGACGAUGUUCUUCAUCAAGGUUUGUAAGGACAAGGAAGGUCUUUUUCACUUCUUUGAUUUAUCACUUUUCUUCUUGCCAUUAUCCUUCUCCUUCUCCUUCUCAAUGAGGAUCUUUAUGUUCCUCUUCGCGGUGGCUCGAGACAACGUGACAUAGAGUUGACCAUGAGAGAACACCAGAUUAGGUAGGUACACGCUAACAAUUGGAAUUGUCUGUCCUUGAGCCUUGUUAAUCGUCAUGGCAAAGCUAAGCCUUACAGGAAAUUGCUUCCUCUUGAACUUGAAUGGAAACAUGUCAUUGUUAGACGGGCAUAGGGGUAUUCGAGGAAGGAAUACCCUCCUACCUGCGUGUUGUCCGAUCACGAUUUCUGCAUCGAUGGCGUUCCUCUCGAAACCUCGGACCACAAGCCUCGUCCUGUUACACAGACCAUUAGCCAGAUCAAUGUUCCUCAGAAGUAUGAUAGGGCAGUUGAGCUUCAGGUUGAGUGCAUGCGGAGGCAGACCAUUGGGAGUCAACCCAUUCAGGAACUCGGGAGCGUAGUAGCCAUAUGGGUCGUCUUCUGCACUGUCAAAGCUAUGGUAGAUUACUUCUUCUCCCCGAAAAUGCUCUACCAUGCGUAUGUUUAUCUUGUCCACAUUGUCGUUUGUGGUGGAGAGGAUUGCGCGUGAAGUCAUGUAAUUCGGAUCGGACAUUUUGUCAUCUAGUCUCAGAAACACAUGGUCAAUCAGCUUCUCUAGGUCGUCCCCCUCGCAUGUAGAUCGCACACAAAUAUCUUCAGGGAGUCGUAUGUUUCCUUGAUCGUCAACUUCCUCGGUGCCAUUGCCUACCCUUAGCAAGUAGUCCACAAACCAGGUGUCAUUAUGAGCCCUCAUGUUGAUGACGAGCCUUAGCUGGCGCAUACCCUUCCAGAGAUGUGAACUUCGAAGGGUUGCAUCGAUUGUCUGACCCCGGGACCCCCUCCUGACGACCGGAAGCACCUGCCUGAAGUCCCCACCAAACACAACAGUUUUUCCUCCAAAGGGUCGGUCCCAUCUUCCCAUGAUGUCACGCAUGCUGUUGUCCAGUGCCUCGACCGCCCGUCGCUUAGUCAUGGUGGCCUCAUCCCAUAGUAUCAAUGAGGCCAUCCUCAGUAGCUUGGCGGUACCACUCUGCUUCGUGAAGGUGCAGGAGGCGCCAUCGUCGCAACUCAAUGGGAUCUUGAACCUCGAGUGGGCAGUCCUGCCUCCAGGCAUGAUAGAAGCCGCGACGCCUGACGUCGCGGUAGCGAUAGCGAUGUUUCCCUCGCUUCGAACCUUCGCGAGCAGCGCCCUGUACAGGAAGGUCUUCCCUGUACCUCCCGGGCCAUCAACAAAGAACACACCCCCAUCACCGCCAUCAACAGCAGCUAGUAUCUCGUCGUAUGCAACCCUCUGCUCGAAGUUUAGCGACGAUGCCAAUUUAGUGUCGUUGAUGUCAAAAUCGAUGUUGGAUUCCUCGAUCAAUUCUCCGGCCUCGCCCUCGGUUGGGUCGAACGCAUCAUCAAUGCAUGGAAGAGCGAAAUCCGCUAUGUCUUUUCCCAUGGACUGCAACAUACCCCUAAUGUCAAGCAACACCAUCUGUUCCACCUCAAUCGGGCACGUGUGUGAUCACCGAUAGUCAUCAGACAUAGGCUCGAGGUGCCUAUCCCAUAAACCACGCACGUCGCCUGGCUCACAGUGCACCAAAAUUGUUGCUAAGAGCCUCCUGAGUGAACAUGGCAUUGGUUGCGAGUAGCUAUUGCUUUGUGCAGGUGCCAGGGACUUGAGUGUGGCCUCCUACUGGAUUGAAACCUUGGUUCUCAAAAACUGAGGGAAAUACUUACGCUACUCUGUUGCAUCAUCUCUUCCUCUUCGGGGAAAACCAAUGCAAGCUCAAGACGUAGCAAGAAGGAUUUCUGGUGCCAUUGCCGGGGGUCUACGCAAAAAGUCAACAUACC